GCCUCCGAGGAGGCAGAAGAACUCACUUUAGAGUGUGGCUGAGGGAUAAGUGUAGAAGCUUCUCUUGCUGCUGCAGUGCUCCCAGGAGAUCUCAGUCAGGAUACUUGGAGGAGGUCUCCAGUCUGUACUCUGACUCCCUGUCUGAGGGAGAGUGGCCACAGGAGAAGAAAUUGUGGGAGCAGCUGAGAUCCAGGUGGAGGCUGUUGUCCCUGGACACAUCCUCAGCAGGCUCACUGGAGGGCCAGUUAGAGCCUCCUGCCCAGUCAGCAGACACUGUCCUCCCCCAGGGCUGUGUGGAGCUGCUGGUGGGGGGCAGCCCCCUGGACAGUGACAUCCUCCUCCAUGGGCCCCCCAGUAAUCUGCAUGUUCUGGACACACAACCUGCAGGCCCUUGCGAUGGUGAGGGGGUGCCAUCAGCCCCCUGUCAUUAGGAGGUCCAGGACCCAAAGCCCCCUGCAGGUGCUGAGCCUUCCCAGCUGUGGAGCCAGGACCCUCAGCCAGGACUGCAGGGACCCUGGAGCCACAGUCCACAGAGGUCUCUCUGGGCCAGAGCUGGGUGCUCAGAGCUGCACCCUCAGAUCCAGCAGUGGAGAAGGCCCUGUGCUCUGGUCCCACCGCUGAGCUGGCCCUCCCCUCCCUGGUGGAGACCUACAUCGCUUUCUUGAUCUCCUGCCUAUCCAUGUGCCCUUUCUUCUACAGUUAUAUUGCUCUACUUUUACUUCACUGAAAUAAAGUGUUUGUUGUGAGUUGGUU